GACAGGAGAGUGGUUCUGCAUACUAGUCUAGACUCUAGAAUUGUUGCUAUUGCAAUUUCUUUCUAAUGGAUUCUAUGGAUCCAAGGGAUGAUCUGAAAACGAUUCAGAAGCUUCUGGUCGUCUCCAUUUGUCUUAAUCUCUUUCAGAUUAUCCUCAAACAUAUAUCGAGUUUCAGGAGCGUUUUGAAAGAACCUUUGAGGGUCCUUGUCACUGGUGCUGCAGGGCAAAUAGGCUAUGCUCUUGUUCCUAUGAUUGCUAGAGGGAUAAUGUUGGGUCCAGAUCAGCCUGUUAUUCUGCAUAUGCUUGAUAUUGAACCUGCCAUGGAAGCCUUGAAUGGGGUGAAAAUGGAGUUGAUCGAUGCGGCGCUUCCUCUCCUCAAAGGUGUUGUUGCCACCACAAAUGCUGUUGAAGCUUGUAAAGAUGUCAACAUAGCAAUUAUGGUUGGAGGGUUUCCUAGGAAAGAGGGAAUGGAAAGGAAAGAUGUUAUGUCAAAAAAUGUAUCCAUCUACAAAGCUCAAGCUUCAGCCCUGGAGAAGCAUGCAGCUCCAACCUGCAAGGUGCUAGUUGUUGCCAAUCCAGCCAACACAAAUGCACUCAUCCUUAAGGAAUUUGCCCCUUCAAUCCCUGAGAAGAAUAUCACUUGUCUUACGCGGCUUGAUCAUAACAGGGCUCUUGGCCAAAUCUCAGAGAGGAUUAAAGUAGAUGUCAGUUCCGUGAAAAAUGUCAUCAUAUGGGGUAACCAUUCUUCAACACAAUAUCCUGAUGUGAAUCAUGCCACUGUCAUCACUGACAGUGCAGAGAAAUCUGUUAGAGAACUUGUUGCUGAUGAUAAAUGGCUGAACACUCAGUUCAUCACCACCAUUCAGCAGCGUGGUGCAGCCAUUAUCAAAGCCCGAAAGCUGUCAAGUGCAUUGUCUGCUGCCAGUGCUGCCUGUGAUCAUAUACGUGAUUGGGUUCUUGGCACCCCUAAGGGGACUUGGGUCUCCAUGGGUGUGUACUCAGAUGGGUCUUAUGGGAUCCCGUCUGGCCUCAUCUACUCUUUCCCUGUUACUUGUGAGAAAGGAGAAUGGUCAAUUGUGCAGGGUCUAAAGAUCGAUGAAUUUUCAAGAGCAAAGAUGGAUGCCACAGCAAAAGAACUUGUUGAGGAGAAAUCUUUGGCUCAUUCAUGCCUCAGUUGAUAAUGCAAAACUCUUUACUUUCCAUUAGAAACAAAGAGGAAGAGAAAAAUAAAAGAGGAACAAAUGGGAUAUCAGAUGAAGACUGGAUUUGUAGCUCUCCUGCCAAAGAUAAAGACUGGAACUGACUGCAACAGGCAGUGAUUAUCCCAUGGAAGCUCUCACGGACUGCCUCUGAUUACAGUUAGAUUGAAAAAAGUGCUGGAGGCACCACACGUGAUUAUAAUCAAUCAAUCUGUAAUUUUUGAAGUUUAUGAACCAACCAUUGGUAAAACCAGGCAUUCACUACUGGAAUCCUUGACAUUUUAUCUUCUUGAUGACCAUACAGGUCAAGCUUUGAAGGUACUCUUAGGAGCAAAACUACAAUAAAGACAACUAAUGAGAGAUUGAUCGAUC